GACGAACGCUGGCGGCGUGCUUAACCCAUGCAAGUCGAACGGGAAGGCCCUGCUUUUGUGGGGUGCUCGAGUGGCGAACGGGUGAGUAACACGUGAGUAACCUGCCCUUGACUUUGGGAUAACUUCAGGAAACUGGGGCUAAUACCGGAUAUGAGCUCCUGCUGCAUGGGGGGGGUUGGAAAGUUUCGGCGGUUGGGGAUGGACUCGCGGCUUAUCAGCUUGUUGGUGGGGUAGUGGCUUACCAAGGCUUUGACGGGUAGCCGGCCUGAGAGGGUGACCGGCCACAUUGGGACUGAGAUACGGCCCAGACUCCUACGGGAGGCAGCAGUGGGGAAUAUUGCACAAUGGGCGGAAGCCUGAUGCAGCAACGCCGCGUGCGGGAUGACGGCCUUCGGGUUGUAAACCGCUUUCGCCUGUGACGAAGCGUGAGUGACGGUAAUGGGUAAAGAAGCACCGGCUAACUACGUG
rnacentral:rRNA from 1 species